AAGAACCUGGGAUGCACGAUAACUCCUGUUAUUUUGAACCUACAUCACUUUAAACGGGACUCUUAUAUCUUCGUAAUAUGUCGAGCCUUCAUUAUGCAGAGGAUGGCAGAAAAGCGAAUGCGGACACCCACCUAGCAGACAGCUAGGAGUCAAAAUACAGGAACCGGCAUUUUGGGGAACAU
rfam:Dorea formicigenerans CAG:28 genomic scaffold, scf58